AGACUCAAUCCCUCGGGUUUCCGAGGAGAUUGGACUUGGGUGUUGCCGCUCUGCCGGCUCGCCUUAAAAGACUUAGCGGGAUAGCACCGUAGUCGGCGUAAUAAGUUUCUCGUCGGUGAAGGUUGUGAUGACUGCUUACAAUCGCCCUCGGGCAAUUUUUGA
rnacentral:misc_RNA from 1 species